CGGGAAGCCAGGCGGCGACGCCGAGCGGAACCCGAAAAGGCGCCUCAGUUCGGAUUGGAGUCUGCAACCCGACUCCAUGAAGCUGGAUUCGCUAGUAAUCGCGCAUCAGCCACGGCGCGGUGAAUACGUUCCCGGGCCUUGUACACACCGCCCGUCAAGCCAUGGGAGCCGGGAGUGCCUGAAGUGCGCGGCCGCGAGGAGCGCCCUAGGGCAAGACUGGUGACUGGGGCUAAGUCGUAACAAGGUAAC
rnacentral:rRNA from 1 species